UACGUAGGGUCCGAGCGUUGUCCGGAAUUACUGGGCGUAAAGAGCUCGUAGGCGGUUUGUCGCGUCUGCCGUGAAAGUCCGGGGCUCAACUCCGGAUCUGCGGUGGGUACGGGCAGACUAGAGUGAUGUAGGGGAGACUGGAAUUCCUGGUGUAGCGGUGAAAUGCGCAGAUAUCAGGAGGAACACCGAUGGCGAAGGCGGGUCUCUGGGCCGAUACUGACGCUGAGGAGCGAAAGCGUGGGGAGCGAACAGG
rnacentral:rRNA from 1 species